GGGUUGUGAGGUUAAGCGACUAAGCGUACACGGUGGAUGCCCUGGCAGUCAGAGGCGAUGAAGGACGUGCUAAUCUGCGAUAAGCGUCGGUAAGGUGAUAUGAACCGUUAUAACCGGCGAUUUCCGAAUGGGGAAACCCAGUGUGUUUCGACACACUAUCAUUAACUGAAUCCAUAGGUUAAUGAGGCGAACCGGGGGAACUGAAACAUCUAAGUACCCCGAGGAAAAGAAAUCAACCGAGAUUCCCCCAGUAGCGGCGAGCGAACGGGGAGCAGCCCAGAGCCUGAAUCAGUAUGUGUGUUAGUGGAAGCGUCUGGAAAGGCGCGCGAUACAGGGUGACAGCCCCGUACACAAAAAUGCACAUAUUGUGAGCUCGAUGAGUAGGGCGGGACACGUGGUAUCCUGUCUGAAUAUGGGGGGACCAUCCUCCAAGGCUAAAUACUCCUGACUGACCGAUAGUGAACCAGUACCGUGAGGGAAAGGCGAAAAGAACCCCGGCGAGGGGAGUGAAAAAGAACCUGAAACCGUGUACGUACAAGCAGUGGGAGCACGCUUCGGCGUGUGACUGCGUACCUUUUGUAUAAUGGGUCAGCGACUUAUAUUCUGUAGCAAGGUUAACCGAAUAGGGGAGCCGAAGGGAAACCGAGUCUUAACUGGGCGUUAAGUUGCAGGGUAUAGACCCGAAACCCGGUGAUCUAGCCAUGGGCAGGUUGAAGGUUGGGUAACACUAACUGGAGGACCGAACCGACUAAUGUUGAAAAAUUAGCGGAUGACUUGUGGCUGGGGGUGAAAGGCCAAUCAAACCGGGAGAUAGCUGGUUCUCCCCGAAAGCUAUUUAGGUAGCGCCUCGUGAA
rnacentral:rRNA from 1 species